GUUAGCACAUGUGCAAUACAUCAGCUAACUAGAGGAUAUAAAAUCAGACGGGAUUGGGAAUUCCCUCCAUUACAGAAAGUCAAACCAGCAGAUGCAGUAGACGACUGCGCCAUGGCUUCAGAUGCAAGUCACAUGUUAGAAGCAGCCUUGGAACAAAUGGAUGAUAUAAUUGCUGGCUCCAAGGCUGCAGUGGAAUUCAGUAAUGGGCUGUGUGACCUGGGCUCCCCAUUGAGCAUCAGGCCCUUGCAGGUGUUGCAUCUGGCUGAGGAACUGCGACUGGCUCUGGAGCUGCAGCCCAGAGAGGAGGACUGCAAUUAUCUGCGCUCCCAGCUGCCCUGUACCACUGCACAGACCCUCAUGGAGUGGCUGGAGAAAGGCUCGGUUAACCUCCAGUCCUCCAGCAACAAUGAGACGUAUCAGGAAAGGCUGUCGAGAUUAGAAGGAGACAAAGAGUCUCUGGUUCUCCAGGUGAGUGUCCUCACUGACCAGGUUGAAGCUCAAGGAGAAAAGAUCAGAGAUCUGGAAAGUUCUCUGGAGGAACACCACCAUAAACUCAAUUCUACUGAGGAAAUGCUCCAACAGGAGCUCCUCAGCCGAACUUCACUGGAGACGCAGAAACUGGAACUGAUGGAUGAAGUUUCAUAUCUGAAAAUCAAGCUGGUCGGUAUGGAGGAGGAACACAACUACAAAGAUGAAGAGGACAAACAUCAUAAGGCUGAGAGUGUGGUUAAUCUAAUUAAUGAGCUACAGGAACAGAUGUGUAAAUUCCAGGAGGAAAUCAGCAAUCGCAUUCAAGAGCAGCGGGCCCUUGAGAGCCAGGGAGACAGUGCCACACGCGAGGUUCACGACCAGAGCCCCGAUGUGGGCCUUGGUGCUUCGGACACUGAGGAAUAUUGCUGCCGCUGUAAAAGCGAAGGAGAGAAUGCAUUGCUGCAAGAGCUUCGCAUUCUUAAGAGCAAAGUUGAUGAACUGGAAGGGGAGAAAUCACAAUAUGAGAGGAAACUCAAAGCCACAAAGGCAGAGAUUGCCAAACUCCAGCCGCUGCUUGCUACGAAAGAUGCUGAAAUCGAGUGUCUUCAGAAUCAACUUCUAUCCCGGGGAACUGUCAGCAAUGACAUCACAGAGAGAGAUCAAGAAUUGCAGAGGCUAAAAACUGGAAUGGAGACACUAAUAGCUGCCAAUAACGAAAAGGAUCGCCACAUUGAAGAACUCAAUGCUCUCUUAGGCCAGUGCAGAAAAAUGAAGGAUGUUUUGGCCCUCUCUCAAAUGACCAAUGAUUCCUUGCUAUCUGCUAGCAGUGAAGAGGAUCUAAGUGGCAGUCGAAAAAUCAGAGCCCUGACCCAUAAACCAUACUCCGAUAUCAUCAGAUCAGAACUGCAGAUGUCUUCCAGAGGCCCAUCGCCGCUCCUGGUCACUCCUCCAUGUCUACAGAGGGAUCUGGACUCCAGCUGUCACAGUAUACAGCCCUCCUUGGAGACCUCUGUGGUAUCCAUUGGCGAAAUGGGCUUUUACAGCAGACAAUGGUCACUGCAGCGAAUGUUGUCCACUAGUUUGGAAGAACUCCAAAGUGGGAGCUUACAGAUGCAUGUAGUGCACCAACCAGUAGAGCCUGUAAUAGAGAACCGAUAUAAUCCAGAGAGUAAAUACCAGACCCUCCCUGGCAAGUUUUGUCAACCAGAACAGAACGGAAUGAGACUACAGCCGUGUUCCCCUCUGCAACUGUCUCCAGAUGAAAGUGAAGACAGCGAAUUUAACCUAAGAAAGACAGAGAAAGCGGAUGACUCUACGCUGUCUGAUCUUUCGCCCAUGUCGUCUGGGGUAGACUCAGGCCAGCAGUCCCCGGUUUCACCAGAAAACAAGAAACAUGAGAAAGGCAUCAGAAAACUGUGGGGAAAGAUCAGGAGAACACAGUCGGGCAGUCUCCCUGCAGACAGUUCUGACUCUGAGUUCAAGAGAGGGGGCUUCAGAUCCACAGCCGGCCCUCGACUCACCUGCCUGGGCAUUGGUGUCUCAUCACGUGAGGCGAACGCCCCCUUCUCGAAGUGGUCAUGUGAUCAGGUGUGCGUGUGGAUGGAGGACUUUGGGCUGGGUCAGUAUGUGAAUAUGGCCAGACAUUGGGUCACAAGUGGCCAGACUCUCCUCUCUGCCUCCUCGCAGGACAUCGAGAAGGAACUGGGAAUAAAACACCCCCUGCACAGGAAGAAACUCCAGUUAGCUCUGCGCUCCGUCAGCACCAAGAUGACCGAAAAAUCUUCAGAACUGGAUCAUAUCUGGGUCACACGCUGGCUGGACGAUAUCGGCUUACCGCAGUACAAAGACCAGUUUAACGAAGGACGAGUGGAUGGCAGAAUGUUGCAGUACUUAACAGUGAAUGAUCUACUGUUUCUGAAAGUCACCAGCCAGCUGCAUCAUCUCAGCAUCAAGUGUGCCAUCCACGUCCUGCAUGUAAACAAGUUCAACCCCAACUGCUUGAAGAGAAGACCUGGAGAUGAGAAUAAGACGUCUCCUUCUGAGGUGGUUCAGUGGUCCAAUCACCGUGUGAUGGAGUGGCUCAGAUCGGUUGAUUUAGCAGAAUACGCACCAAACCUGAGAGGCAGUGGAGUGCAUGGUGGAUUCAUAAUUCUGGAGCCUCGUUUUAAUGCAGAUACCCUUGCUUUGCUCCUGAAUAUCCCACCUCAGAAGACCCUUUUGAGGAGGCACUUGGCAACCAACUUCAACAGGUUGGUGGGCUCUCAGGCUCAACAAGAGAAACGAGAGUACAUGGAAUCAUCAAACUACUCACCACUCACCACAACGGCAAAAGUCCGGCCUCGUAAAAUGGGUUUCUCCACUUUUGGACACCGUAAGAAACGUGCUGAUGACUCUACAGACUACAUCUGCCCUCUGGACGCAUCCCAAGCCCAGGCCUUGCUUAACGGGGCCAACCGGCCCUACAGCGGCUUCAGGGGCCUGAGCCCUAUCUUCGACAGGGACCCAGAGAGACGGGAGCAGGUGGGACCUUUACAGAACUGACGCUGUUGAGCUUGCUGCCAAAAACCCUCCCCCCAUAUCCCACCAACCGCGCCAACUUCUAAACAACACCCUGGUUCAUUUCAGUGCCAUUAUCUAACACCUCAGCAUCCCUCAUUUACAUGCAAAAGUAUGGACACUACAGAAAGACACUCAGUGGAGGGCAUGAAAAGUAUUUGGAUCCAAUGGUUUAGUACUGUAUUACUGACAUCAUCUUCAUCUCACCCAGGCAAAAGGAUUUAGUCCCAAAUACUCUCUGGUGCCACUUUAACUGUGAUGGAAAAUUGGAUAUUUUCAACGAAAUUACUUUGUAUAAAUUUUUAUGAAUCUUAAAAAAAUAUAUAAAUAAUCAGAGAUUUAUCUAACAAGUAUUACAUUUUUAUAACCUAACACCUUAUUUGGACUGUUUUAAAAGACGGUACGUACAAUAAUAUGAUGCAAUAUUUGCAUACAGUAUAUUUUAGGGAUUUAUUUAAUGGUAUAUUUAUAUGUUGGUGAAUUUUAAGUACACAUCCAGAAAACGUCUGAAUUCUGAAAUGUCAGCGCAUUCUGACCGACCUGACUUGUGGUAUUUUAUUACAAUAAAACGCAAAAUACUAAUUUUAUACGUAGCUGUCAUGUCUCUUCAGUUAAAAAAGGACCCUUUGUCUUUUGGACUGUAAUCCCAAAAUAUUGUGACAUAAACCUCUUUAAUCAUUUUGAUAUUAAGGUGUUGUUGCUGUUGUUGUUUUUUCAGCACAUAGAGCAUUAUACGAAACCUUCCAAAGACAGCUUACUGGAUGAUACAAUAUAAACAGCCCAUGUGAUAAGUCACAACACGCGUUUCUUUAACCUGACACACUGUCUAUACAAUUUUGAGCUCUUGCACAAGAUACUGAAAAAAUAUUAUAACUGCAGCUAUAGAUGCAGGUCAAAGAUGUACAUCUAGCAUGUUUUCAUAAAAAAAAAAUAAACAGGUGAAAAAUAGCACAGAUGGACACCAAAACACAUUCAGUGUGAACAGCUCCUUAUUGUACAUCCUUACAUUCUGUCAUCAUUUUCCUUGAUAACUGUCUCAGCUGUGUACUGUACAUGACUUAAUCCUCUUGCAAAGUCAAGCAACUGUCUAUAAUCACAAACUUUGCAGAAAGACAUUGACAUGCAUGAUUUACCAGCAUCACUAACUAACUGGCUGUCAUCCAUGCAUCUGAUUACCACCAAACGCCCAUUUUCACAAUGUGAAGAAGUGUAUGAUGGGAAAGGAUCAUGCACUUUAGAGGAAGGGCAUACUCCAGAAGCUGCACGUUAAAGAAUCUGGCAUGCAGAUUGAGGCCUUAUCAAAGGGAAUUAACAACCUCACGUACUUACUGAGCCAAGACAAGCUACUAAGAGGAAUGAGAUGCAGACAAACUG